UUGGGCAGCUCGGCUGAGUUAGAGUGGACUCCCCCGAGUCUCGUACUGCUCUCAUCCAUAACUUGAUGAAAUGGUGAUAAACAGUUAUGACUACAUUAUUUCUUCAAUUAUAUGGAUCAUAUUGUACUCUAGUCAGUGUUCAGCGGGAAAUAUCGCGAAAACAUUUUUUCUUGGUCACUUCGUUUUUAUGCAUUUAUUGUUUUUUGUUCUCCACUUUGAAUUCCAUUGCUCAGUUUUUAGUUCUCCUCAGAAGAUUUCAUUUAUUUUUCAUAAUUAUUUUCAUUGACGUCAAAAAGAGAAAAAAGUUUCAAUUUUAGUAAAUGAAUUCCGAGUGCUAUUUCUAUCAAUAUUUUACACAUUGUUUCUCCUUUAAUUUGUUCUCCAUAUGUUUAUUUUUCAGUAUAUGAAAACCCUGGCAAAUUGCAUUCUUUAUAUGUGC
rnacentral:lncRNA from 1 species